CAAGUAUGGUGAAAAAAGCAUC
rnacentral:miRNA from 1 species